rnacentral:rRNA from 1 species
GACGAACGCUGGCGGCGUGCUUAACACAUGCAAGUCGAGCGGAGCGGCGAACGGGUGAGUAACGCGUGAGUAACUGCCCCCCUCUCUGGGAUAACAGUUGGAAACGGCUGCUAAUACCGGAUAUUGGGGGAUGACUCGCGUCCUAUCAGCUUGUUGGUGGGGUAGUGGCCUACCAAGGCGACGACGGGUAGCCGGCCUGAGAGGGCGACCGGCCACAUUGGGCUGGGAUACGGGCCAAACGCCUACGGGAUGCAGGAGUGGGGAAUAGUGCACGACGGGGGAAACCCGUAUGCAGCAACGCCGGGUGCGGGAGGACGGCCUGCGGGUUGUAAACCGAUUUCAGCCAUGACGCGGUAGUGGCAGAAGAAGCACCGCUUAACUCCUUGCCAGCAGCCGCGGUAAAC